AUCAAUCCAGACAGUCAGAAGAAUUAAGGUGAGAACGACUAACAGCACACACAAUUUAAUUAAAUAAGAACAGUCAAACUAAGAACAUUAAACCAAUAAAUAAAAAUCAACAGUUGCCAUGUCUGACACACGAGGAAAAAGCAAGGGGUGGACAAAAAGUUCGUAAAAAUGGACAAAAGAGACCUACACCAAAAAAAAACAACCAGUUUAAAUUUUGACUAAGAGACGCAACAAAAAUUAGAUUCGCUGAAGAAGGCCCAAAAAAGGUGCCGAAACGUUCGACAAUUAGAUUGAUUGCAGUCCUGCCAUGACAUCUAGUAGAGCGAUGAAUGCCGAUUAUAGCAAAAAGUUGUGGGAUAUAUCUUGUCGACUGUUGCAUUUGGAGCCCGAGGAAAAUUUUGUUACAUUAUUAAAUACUAUCUCACGUCAAAUUGCUGAUUAAUAUCAGUUAAAUUUAUUGUUACAGUUUUUACUACACUCUACCAGUUUCAUGUAAAAUUGAAACACAAUAUAAGGGGCGUCAUGAGAACCGAAUAAGGUAGAUACUGCAAUAAAAUGAUAAUUCCGGGUGUGACGUUCUUCUUCUGAUAUAUUAUGCGACAGAUGAACAAACAUAAGUCUUGUCCAAAAGAUCUUGAAAAGCCUUGUCGAAUGAGACUGUACAAAAGUCUGUAUUUCUUAUCAUUUCCGAGAAAGUCAGGUUCGGGGACAGAAUCAAGAAACUAAAAUAUUUCACAAAUGUAAGCAGAUAAAUAGACAAAUAUAAGUCUUUUUCUUGAGAUGUCUUACCGAAGUUUUAUCAUCAAGAAUGCAAAAUAAGAGAAUACCGUGUUAAAUCUCCGCAAUGGAGGGCAAGAGAUGAUCAAAUAGCCAAAGUUUUAUGGGAUCACACCUGCCGACUUCUGGAUUUAAAACCAAAAGAAAAUCUUACCUCAUUUUUAAAAACCAUUUUCAAUUAACUUGUUUAAUAACAUUUGCUUAUAAAAAAUUAAAUUAAGAAUAUACGACGGGGUCUUCUAUUAUUCAAUAAUCAAUUACAUUAAUAAAUAAGCUGAUAGAGCCAGAGCUGCAUUCUUUUACGUGCUCAAUUAUUUAUUCAAAUUAAGAGUACAGACGUUUCGGCCAUUGUUUUCGGCCUUCCUUAGUGUACGGUAAUUUAAUAAGGAUUUGAUAACGCAAAUGUGUGAGAACGCAUUCAAUUGUUAAGUCUUAGUACAUUUAGUUUUUUGUAGGCCGAAAACACAAUCAAACGAUAGGGAAGGACGAAACUGUCUUCUAUAUGAUGUCACUUUAUAUUUCCGAAAUUCAUUUGUAAGUAAUUUCUUAGUACGUAUUAAAAUUUUUUCUUGAGUGUUUGUUCGAUAGAAAUAAAAAUUGACAUAAUUCAUA